rnacentral:rRNA from 1 species
UACGUAGGGGGCUAGCGUUGUCCGGAAUCAUUGGGCGUAAAGCGCGCGUAGGCGGCCCGGUAAGUCCGCUGUAAAAGUCCAGGGCUCAACCCUGGAAAGCCGGUGGAUACUGUCGGGCUCGAGUCCGGAAGAGGCGAGUGGAAUUCCUGGUGUAGCGGUGAAAUGCGCAGAUAUCAGGAGGAACACCGGUGGCGCGAAGGCGGCAUCCUGGACCGGUAUUGACGCUGAGGAGCGAAAGCCAGGGGAGCAAACGGG